UUGACCAGAGGGGGAUUUUCUGGACCUUUUGAUGCUGGUCUGAGGGAUUUUGUGGAGGGCAAGAAAAGUUGAGGGAGCUUCAGAGGGAGAAAACCAGUCGGAGGAGAGCAUAGGAGAGGUGAGAGAGCUUGGAAAGGUACCGGGGCUGGUUACUCAGGGAUAUUUGAGAGUGCUUUUAGCAGGAGGUUAGCAGAGAGAGAGAGGAAAAGAGAGGGAGGCUUUCGUGGUGAUUUUUCAAGGGUGACCUUUCUAAGAGGGGAGAAUUCUUUGGGGAUUUUUCGGAGAGAUUGUGGAGAGAGGUAUUUUCUGGAGGAGAUAUUUUUGAGGAGCUUUUGGGCUGGAUAGGCAAGUGAAGCUGAUGAGGGGAUUCUUUCAGAAAAGGUUUUGAGUUGGGCGUCUCCCAGAAAGGUGAUAAAAAUAGAGUUUGAAGUCAGGCGAGCUUUCAUUGGUGAGGAGGCUUUCCAGGUAUGGACUCUGCUCAUCAUCUUCUCCAUCUUGUUUUGGAUAUCAAUGAGCUUCCAUCUUGGUGUUUGAAUAUGUUUGCUAUGGAUUUCACUUGACUCAGCUUUGAAUUCUAACCUGUUUUUGUGUCCUUUGUUUUGAGAUCUCUUAUGAGAUGUUGGCAUUCCCACAUUUGUUUUUGUCUUAAAACUCAUUUGAAAAAUCGUUUUGACCCCCUCCUACAUCUGAGCUCAUUGAUUGAUAUGUGAAAUGAAGCUUGUAUGGAUUCAUUUGGUCCCCAUUGUUUGUGUUUUUCUUUGGUCAUCUUCCCCUGUUCCUGGUGCUCAUCCAUGACAUGCACCUGAUUCAUCGUCUCCACGUUAAGAAGAUAUAUGAGAGCUGUCAGUGGGUCAUUCUGGGUCUAUUCUACCUCAGUGUGCUCUUAUUGGUUGAGAAUCUCCAGUUUUUGGUUCGUUUAAUGGCAUCUGAAUGGCCGACAGUAUUAAUUGCAUCAUUGUGGUAUGGGAUGGCAAUGGAAAACUAAAAGCAGAGGAUGGUGUUUUCUUACGUUAUUUGAACUGUGUAAAGGAGCUUUUCCGGGGAAAAAUAAUCGUUAUGAAAUUUGUCAUUCAGAGCCAUGUGGGGAUUGCAACUUAAUGCCAAGCGGGAUUAGGCCACAUGCCAUGCUAGGGAUUGUGUACCAUGCUUGGUGCUUGUCAAUCAAAAAUGUCGUUGUGGGUCAAUAUCAAAAUACCAUGAAGCCACAACGGAGGAGAAAAUUACCUGUGAGAAGCUUUGUGAGUGGAAGGAGAACUAUGGAAGACACUGUUGUAGUGAAUGGUGUUGUGCUCUCUCUGAUUUUCUGGCAAUGUUCUCUCUGGCGAUUGGGAUCCGCAUUUAUGUGCAAUGACAUACAGAAAGAAACUAAAGUGUGAGCAGUCCUCUUGGGAAACUUUUUUGUCUUAGUGGCCAUUUCCUGGAAACAGUCUUUACUGAUUUAACCUGUGAACGUGGGAGGAUUUUAAUGGCUCCUUCAUUUCCUUAUGACAUCCCCACUCCAAAAUCCACCCAAAGCCUUCUGCCAGUCCACUCAUUGCCCAUUUCAUACCCAUUUCUAUUACUACCACUCUCUCUCUACACCACCAUGCACUAUGUCAUCACUCUCACUCACUCAAUAUGCCCCUUGCUGCAGCCGUUUUAUCAUUGAAUCCACUUUCCUUCACCACUUUCCAUUACCCUUUGUAUCAUUCUCUCAUCACCCGCUUGCCUUCGAUCUUGUCACGUACGUGGAGUCUCAUGCAUGCACGACUGUCUAUCAUACACUAUCUCAUCUUCCAUGCUUCUAUCUCAACCCCAUGCCAUCCUACCCAUAACCUCAUGCAUGACUGAACCCAUUCAUACCCCAUCACCCUCUGUUCGUUUCCUACAUCCUGCGUAACCUCCAAAAUCCACCCAAAGCCUUCAUCCCUAUUCCCAUGCAAAUACUUCACUAACCACUACCCUACUCUCUAAUGCCCAUCUGACUCAUUCUUUUCAUCACCACCCCACCUUCAUUAUUUCAUACCCAUACAUACCAUCAAUUCAUCCAAUACCCACCAUAUCCACCAUGUUCGUCUUUCCACAUCAUACACCUUCCAUACCCAUUCUCCCUAACUUUUAUACUAACAUAUGCCCAUCACCUACAUAUCCAUCUCCAUGCUCGCUCCUAUCUCUACACUGCCACCCGUACCCAUUAAGUCCACUUCUUGCAAUAUGGCAUGCACCUAGUCCCCCACUCACUUCUUAGUACUUUUCAUUUCCCAUUCUUCCCUAGACACAUGCAUGACCGUCCUUAGGUGUUUCACUUCCCGCACCUCAUCCCUUCAAACUCUCUGCCAGUGAACCCAUUUGUUCGGAAGAAGUGGGCGUGCUUAUGACCUGUGGAGACUGGAACUGAAGCAAAAAGUGCUUUGUUGCAUGACAAGGAGAAUGGGAAAUUCGAUCAAGAACCUGGAGUUACCGAGUCCACAAAAUUCGGUUCUCAUGGAGAUGAGCCUGUCAAAAGGAAGGGUCCAGUUCUAGAAGCAUUUGGUAAUGCAAAGACUGUCAAAAACAAUAAUUCAAGUCGGUUUGGUAAGUUUGUGGAGAUUCAAUUUGAUCAAAGGGGAAGGAUUUCAGGAGCAUCUAUCAGGACUUAUUUGCUGGAAACAAAGCUAUUUUUGCUUGAAGGAUGAGAAUUUCAUUGGCUAGGGAAGCAGAUGUUGCCAUAUCUUGUUGCACACGCACCCAACUGCAAUAGUGCAGUCCAUAAUAAUGCAAGUGGUAGGCCAUCAGCUAAGGAUAGUGCCCAGGUUGAUUUGUCUUCACUGUCAGUUAACUUCUCCCUGAAUUCAAGGUGACAAUCCCAGCUAACACCAUACAAGCUGAAGUGCGCUAAAGUCAACUUGCUCAGAGGAGACUCUUACACAGGAAUAUGUUCAGCACGGAUACAGGGUGAUUGAUGUGGAACUAAGGGAUGCUUAUUUCAGUUAUCCAACAAAGACAGAAUAACUACUUACAUGUAAUGAGGAGAUGAGGUGACUUAGUAUCCUGCAACUGUUCAUUCUAGUGAUAGAAAGACAGCUUGUUCUUCAUUGAGGUCAAUAUUGACGUCUUGUUGACUCCGAAGGAAAUGUGGUGAUAGGUAGCACGAUGAAGCAUGGUGUAAAAGAAUAAGACUCCCACGUGGUACAGGUAGCUUUAAUGUUGAAGUUCGAACUCCCGUAGACGGCUGAAGGCUGUUUCAAUGCAUAGUUUCCAAUUGAGGCCAUUGCAAAUGCUGUAGUUACAGCUAUACCCAAUCCAGAGGGUGUAAGUGGUGCUGCAAGCAAUUCAAUUCAAGAAUCCACUCACAGAAAAUUUGUUAAGGCACCCCUCAUGUACUUUCAGAAUCCUCAUCCUCAUACAGUGUUAUUCUACACACUAUCACUGUUUUCUGAAACCUUAUAGCAGUUACCAUUUGGUUCAGUGAUAAGUGCAAAUCCCUCCUAAGCGUGAUAUGAGAGGUCACGAGCAGUACCUCGGUACCAUAUUCAGCAGUCCAUCUGACCAAAAUUGUAGUAAAAGCUCUUCAAUGCCUCCAGAAACCCAUGGAAAUCUUGCUACAUAUCACCAGUAGCUCAUCAUUCAAACUGUCUGCAUAGAUCCAUUGAACUCCCCAGAGAUUUGGGAUGCUAAGUGAGCCGAAGAUCAAGUCUACAUGGCUGAGAUGUUGAUGCAAAGGAAGGAUGGUCGCCACAGUUUUCCAGCAACAUUUGCAGCAGAUCGAGUUAUUCAUGUGUUCAUGUUUGAGAAAGGGUGUUAGGGACAUACAGGAAAUUACGAGAGAUCCUCUUCAUAGGCAGAGAUGGAAUAAUAUGCAGUCAGUGCUCCAGGUGCCCCAA